rnacentral:rRNA from 1 species
ACUUUCAGCGACGGAUGUCUUGGCUCCCCCAACGAUGAAGAACGCAGCGAAAUGCGAUACGUUUUGCGACUUGCAGAAUCCCGUGAAUCAUCUAAAUUUUGAACGCAUCUUGCGCUUCCGGGAAAUGCCUGGGC